rnacentral:lncRNA from 1 species
AUGGGAGUAAUCCUUACCCCAUUGCAACUACUGGAAGGAAGCCUUCCUGGAAAAGAGUCCAACACAGAUCCUGGCAGUUUUUCUUGGAGACUGUCCUCUGACGCUUGUUGGGGUCUAGGAUCCUUCCAUAAUGAGAUUCUGACAUCUCUACACAAGGCUUCCCAGGUCUCUGUGGAGGGAAAGAGAGUUGGAGGAUUGCAUAGGCUGGAUUUCAGGUGCAGACUUAGAGGUGGCUUCAUUACUUCUGCGGACUUCCGUUGAUUAAAACCUAAUCACCUUUCCAAUGCUAACUUUAAGUUUUUCAACCUCUUCCUCUCGAGCAAUAAGCUAACUAGACAUCUUAUCUGCCUCUCAAGUUAUAUAGCAGGCAACAAGAAUUUUUCUAAGAAAAUUCUUAGAAAAUCUUUCUAAGAAUUUUUCUAUUGCAUAACGUAC